rnacentral:rRNA from 1 species
AUUGAACGCUGGCGGCAUGCUUUACACAUGCAAGUCGAACGGUAACAGGUUAAGCUGACGAGUGGCGAAAGGGUGAGUAAUGCAUCGGAACGUGCCCGGUCGUGGGGGAUAACGCAGCGAAAGCUGCGCUAAUACCGCAUACGAUCUGAGGAUGAAAGCGGGGGACCGUAAGGCCUCGCGCGAUCGGAGCGGACGAUGUCAGAUUAGGUAGUUGGUGGGGUAAAGGCUCACCAAGCCAACGAUCUGUAGCUGGUCUGAGAGGACGACCAGCCACACUGGGACGGAGACACGGCCCAGACUCCUACGGGAGGCAGCAGUUGGGAAUUUUGGACAAUGGGCGAAAGCCUGAUCCAGCAAUGCCGCGUGAAGGAAGAAGGCCUUCGGGUUGUAAACUGCUUUUGUACGGAGCGAAAAGGUCUCCUCUAAUACAGGGGGCUCAUGACGGUACCGUAAGAAUAAGCACCGGCUAACUACGUGCCAGCAGCCGCCGUAA